CAAAAAUAAUCGACCAAUAACAACGCUCAUAUCAGAACAGGAAGUUAGGAAAUUAAAACAGGAAGUUAGGAAAAUUUAAAAUGAAGUUUGGAAUAUUGCAACAGCCGAUAGGAACAUUGCAAAUUCCCUCAAGGGAUUUGCAAAAGUUUUUCAAAUUUGCAAAGCUAAUGAGGAAAAUUCUAAAUGAGUUACGAACUCAAAAGAGGAACGCUUCACGUAGUUUACCUGUAAAUUGUCACGAAAAAAUGUCUGGGAACUGAUUUGCAUUCGCUGUGUUUCGCACUCAUUCCGCCUUUUACAUUCACCGGAAGUCACUAGACGACACCAAGGUUUAUCGUGAACCGCAAUGACGGAGAUAGUGAUGGAGAAGUACUUCAAUUAGACCUAGAUAAAAUGAAUAAUUGGACUAAAGUUUGGCAAUGACGCUUCAAUCCUGAAAAGUAUGACGUGAUGUAACUGUGGGAUAACGCAUCGACAAGAUUUUUCAGUUACUGAAUAUUAUUUAUCGGGAGUUUUCAUAUGAAAAUCUUCACACUGUGUCCCAUUUUAAAAUUUCACAACGUUUUUCUGCUUCAAAGCUGCUCUGUAGACUCUUUUUUGUACCCUUUGUAAGGCUUGUACGUCCGAGGGGCCUUUCACUCCAAAAAUCCUGCAUUACUAUCCCUAAAAAUCCGGAAAACUAGAUCCGGUUCUAUUUGAAAAACGUCAAAAUCCAAUUUUAAAAACCAUUCGAAG